AAGAUUAAGCCAUGCAUGUCUAAGCAUGAAAUGAAAUAAAUUGAAGCCGCGAAUAGCUCAAUACAACAGCCGUUGUUUCUUGGAUCUCCGAUGUACUUGGAUAACUGAGGUAAUUCUUGAGCUAAUACACGCAAACGAGCCUCGACCGUAAGGAAAGGGCGCAUUUAUUAGAACAAAACCAAUCGGUGUCCUCGUGACGCCGUCUGUUGGCGAGUCUGAAUAACUUAGCGAAUCGUUUCGGCCUUUGUGCCGGCGAUGUAUCCUUCAAAUGUCUGCCUUAUCAACUAUCGUUGGUAGUUUAUGUGCCUACCAAGGUUGUAACGGGUAACGGAGAAUCAGGGUUUGACUCCGGAGAGGGAGCCUGAGAAACGGCUACCACUUCCAAGGAAG
rnacentral:rRNA from 1 species